rnacentral:rRNA from 1 species
AGAGUUUGAUCCUGGCUCAGAAUCAACGCUGGCGGCGUGCCUAACACAUGCAAGUCGAGCGAGAAAGUGGAGCAAUCCAUGAGUAAAGCGGCGCACGGGUGAGUAACACGUGACUAACCUACUCGAGUGGGGAAUAACUUCGGGAAACCGAGGCUAAUACCGCAUAACACCUACGGGUCAAAAGAGCAAUCUGCUUGAGG